UAUUUAAACCAGUGCCUCGACCCACCCUGCACUGAAUCUGAAACUGAAGCUUGUCCUGUUUGGAAACCAGAUCGAAGGAGCUUGGAAAAAUGCAUACAUCCCGCAGUAAUGAGCCAACAUAUCUUGCCUGGUCCAUCUUCAACACUUUUUGUUGCUGUUUGCCACUUGGAGUUGCAGCAAUCAUCUACUCAUGCAGAGUAGACAAUGCUAAUUCACUUGGAGAUGCUGGAAGAGCUCAAGAGACCUCUAGGAUUGCAAAGAACCUGAAUAUUGCUUCACUGGUGUUGGGACUGAUUGGUUUAAUUAUGGUGAUUGCAAUGUUGGUGAUUAAAUACAAAAUGUAAGCAGCAUAUCUGUAUGCUUGUGCUUGGAUUUUCUUCUUGUUGUUUUUCUUUUAUUUGGUCCUUGCUUUUCAACCAAAAUUGCAAGCUAUGAACUGCACCGCUCAACUCUAGAGAUGAUGAAAACCAGCUGGGGUUUGAAAAUCAAAAAACAAUGAUAGCCGCACAAAGUUGCUGUUAUUUUGGGGGUUUAUGCAAUGUUCAGAAGCUAAAGAGCUACAGAAAUAUAAAUUAGAUUUGUUAAUUAAAAAAAUAUAUAUUUUUAAAAAUAUAAAAACCCAAGUUUGAAACUUUUUUAAUAGCUUUUUUGUAUAUAUAAUUUCCUUUAUGUUAAAUCCUUUUUUAUUUUAUUUUUCCCAUAAGUACAAUGUUCAUGUGAAUGUUUUAUGCCAAAUGAUGUGAUGAAAUCUCUUUCAGUGCGAUUCAGUGCAAUGAAUGCAAAGUACUUUAAUCGCACAGCUAAUAUAUUAAACAUUUACAUGGAAAAUGUAACUGGCAAAUGGCUUGUGUAA